rnacentral:rRNA from 1 species
UACGUAGGUGACAAGCGUUGUCCGGAUUUACUGGGCGUAAAGAGCGCGCAGGCGGUCGUUCAAGUCGGGUGUGAAAGCCCCCGGCUCAACUGGGGAGGGGCAUUCGAUACUGAUCGACUCGAAGGCAGGAGAGGGAAGUGGAAUUCCCGGUGUAGUGGUGAAAUGCGUAGAUAUCGGGAGGAACACCAGUGGCGAAGGCGACUUCCUGGCCUGUUCUUGACGCUGAGGCGCGAAAGCUAGGGGAGCAAACGGG